CCAGCUGCUGGAACGUAAAAUAUUAAAUGUCAUCGUGGUGCUCUUAUUCUCUCGGAAUAACAGAAUACAUCCAUGCUCCUGUUAACCCCACAAAGGAAGUGUGGAAUUGGUGCAAUCACCCUUGUAAAAUGGAAAGAAAAACAGGCAGCUCUAACUUCAUUGUUUUUAUUCUACAGUCCUUGCAACAGCUUCAGCAACAGUAAGCUCCUCCCAAGCUUUAAAUAUUAGUGAUAGAAAAGAUUAUCUGAGUCUUUCAUGUAGGUGACAAUGGUGUGGUUUUUAUGGUUAGUUUUAGGUUUUGUAUUUUAAUGCUUUUAAAGCAUUUUUAGGAAACUAUUCCCCUGGUCCCCUGCAGUUUUCUGAGGAUUUUGCUCUUGUCUCUCAGUCUGGUUCCUUCCCUCCCAACCUGCCACACUCAGGUGCGUUGUGGACAAUAAGAAUUCUGCCUGUUCUGCAGCUGACUGUAAGGAGCUAAAUGGAGCAAAGUAUGCAUAAAAUACCUAGAACCCUUUACCCUCCAAAAUUCCUUUCCUCCUUUCUGGGGGGAAAAAAGGUAACCUGGAUAUUCUGCUUUUGGAAACUUGGUUGUUCUUUGCACAUUGGUGUUAUUUCAAGAAAAGCAGCAGUAAUGUGCAAAUGCUGAAGUACCAGUCAGCUCUUCAGCUGAGCAUUUUUCAUUCAGAAAAGUAGUAGCACAACAAAAAAAGUGAUGCAGAAAGGUGCCAUCUCUUGUCUGGACUUGUAUGGGACACUAUCGACAGCUGGGUGUUGUUAGGGUCCCCAGCAACUCCUUCCCAGUCCUGAGAGCAGGGAAGAGAUGUUUUCUUGGUCAGGAUUCAUCAUCCUUGAAUUCACAUACCUGCUCCAUGAACGUCACCUGAGCUCAUCAUCCAGGCUCCACUUAGAGUGAGUAAAGAGAAACAGCUCUAGGGGGGAUUCAUUUCAUCCUUCAGGAGAGACCUCCAGCAUAAUUAAUGGUCCUUCUCAGUCCAGUGACUCAGUCUCUAGGAAAGCCUGGGACAGGCAUCGGGGCAGUAGCUGUUGGUGAAGGCGCAUCCUGCCCUGCGGGCUGAGGGAAGUCUGAUGGCUGCAUCUGUCUGGCUGCUCUCCAUUUGGCCCGGCUGCCCUCUGGCUGGAAGGGCGGACCUGUGGCCAUUGUUCUGCCACUGCCCUCCAGAGGCAGGGCAGCUCAGACCUCAUGGACACGGUCAUGUUAGUGGCUGUGAGGAGAAGCUACAUUCCAGUGCCACUGCUGUUUUACUGACCUCGUGAGAGAGUCGAUUUAGAUCCACUUUAUUUGGAGUGAUUAAUUUAAGUUUAAUUAAGGGAUGUCAACUCGGCAGAAUGCUGUCACAGUAUAAUGAUCUCCUGCUGUUGCAUAAAUGUCAAGUCAAAGCUGGGACUUACUUCCAAAGCAGGAGGCAUUUAUCUUGUGACAGUGUUGUAUUAAAAUGACUUACUCCUGCUGCACCAAAUGGUGGGUGUAAAUUGUCUGGCGCUGGUGCAGCAGACUGGAAGGUGCCUUCUGCACAGCCAGCUUUCCUGCAGCGUGGCAGAGGUGUUGGGACACAGCGGGGUGGCUCCUCUGCUCUUUCUGGGGGCUGCUGCUUCUUGAAGGGUGAGAACAAGUUUUACGACAGUCAUCCUCCACCCACUGCUGCUGUCUCAAAACAGAUUCUUCCCUGUCAGUUGUUUGCUACUCUAGGUUUGCUUACCCUUGUAGAGAAGAGGCUGAAAAAGAAAUUUAUUUGGCUGGACCUUAAUCUCUUUGCACCCAGACACUUCUGCUGUGUUCGCCUGUAGCAGUCACGUCUGGUACUAAUUUCUGUUUGAGAGCAAAGCAUGUUUCUAGCUACUGGACUCUCUUCACAUGGUAAAUGAUGGGGCUCAGCUGUCUGAGCAAGACCAGCUUUGGUUUGUUUUUAGAAGGUGCUACCCUUGUCAGAUCUCCAGUGCUGUUUCCAUAUGGACCUAGAAACCUCAAAAAGCAACUUGGCAUCAACUUGUGUUAACCUUGUGACCUCAAGCACUUGUGCUUGUUUCAGACUGAAAUCUAAUGAAAACUGGGAGGACAGGGGGAAGACGUUUUUGAGCUUCUUAGGUGUUUUACCAGUCUGUUAUUUCCUAGAAAAGCUGAACAAGCAAAGAUUGUGCAGAUUUAAAAAAAACAAGAAAAGAUGCAAUGCACUCCACAUUACCAGCGUUACCUGUCCAACACAGUCCCGGGCUCUGAAAGAUUACAGUGCAAAUACUUACAUUGUAUGGGUUGUCUGGAUUAAGUGUUUGAUCGGUCUCUUGUCCCAUUGGCCUGGUUUCAUUAGACUGGUGACCAAGCUCUUGAGUCAGCUGCACAGUGUGUGACCUGGGGUUUACUUCAGAAGCAGCUUCCAAGUCUUCCUCAUCAAAGUUUGAUUCUGAUUGGCGCUUGUUUCUCUUAAUUUCUCUCCUCUGGUUAUCUGAAGAAAUAAUCACCAGAGGACAAACCUACCUUGAGUGUGUCCUUGUAGUUCCCUAAUAUUUCAGUGAUCUCUUUAAAUAUUAAAAAAACGAGAGGGUGGAGGGCAGAGAGAAAGCUGAAAUUGUGCCUUGGCAAACUUGAUGAGCAUCCCCAUUGGAGCUGCUUGCCUUCCUAUGUUGUGUCUGCAGCCAAUACCAGUCCAAAGCAAUGUGAUUCGCCUUUCCCUCCCUCCUUCCGCUCCUUGAGGCAAAAUGGGUGUGAGGAGAUUUGGGGGGUUUUUGACCCAGCCUGUAGUCACUGAUACUAACUCAGCAGCAGUUGCCAGCACUAGCAAGACCAGCUGUGCACAUCUCACUUUCUUAAAAUUAUUUUAUGGCAGGAUGGUACCCUCCUCUCAAGGACAUCUGGUUCUGGACAGCUUUGAUACUGCUCUUUUGUUGCCCAGUGGGAUAUGUAAGAUCAUGAGGAAAGUAGAAAAUACUGGUAGCUUGAAUCCACAGGUGCUCUAAAAUGUGGUAAAUUUUUUUUCACGUGUGUUGUCCCACUCAAGUGUUCUGCUAUUAACUGGACCAAAGAGGAAUAAAUAUUUUCUGAGCCUUCUCCUAGGCCUGGAAGACACCUGGAAGAGUUACCAUCUCCCUGGUGACUCCUGAACACCUUUGCUAAGCUUGCCCAUGGGCCCCAACUUCAGAGCUGGGAUUGCCCCCAGGAUCUCAUAAACCAUCCACUAGCUGCCUGGCUUAAAGUAUCUUCCUUCCACUUCACUGAAUUCCUCUGGGGAAGCAGGGUAGAAAACAGGACAGGCUAUGGUCCCCAGUUCCUGGCCAGUGUUCCUGCGACCUGGUGUCAGCUGCCUACACAUUUGGGGGCAAGUUUAAGCUGUUGUCCUUCUGUAGAAGGAGGCCGACCUCUCUGGAAAUGUUUCAUCUCCUAGCAAGUCACCCACUUGGGCUACACAAAUUGUCUGAGUAAAUACAGGUAUGGAAAAUGUCAUGGGGAUAAACUCUAAACCCACAAUCCUGGCAGAAGCCCAGGAAGCCAUGGGCAAGGGAGGAAAGGAGUCUGGUUUCCCAGAUGUGCUAGUUUUGAUAGCAAACCUGAUGUAGGGGAAGGCAUUUCGAUGAAGGGAAGUAUAACAUACUUUUCAAAUAAAAGAAAUGUUACCUUUGGGAUAUGUUGGUCGCAGCCAGAAGAUUGGAAGAUCCCUGCAAAGCUCUAAAAUUUUGGGGCUUAGGAAGCUGUUAUGCUUGAUAGGUUCAUCUGCAGCCACCCAGAUAAGGGAGUUUUUGUCAAAUCUCACAGGCAUGAUUUCAUCUUCCUGCAAAUAGAAGAGCAUAAAUCCUUUGCUGCUCAGUGAGCAGUCAUGUGCCUGCUCGCUGCUAAUUCUUGAGCACCAAACUGUAAUUAUCUGCUGCAACUAAUACCAAGCAUCCUUCUACGUCAUGAAUAUGAACAGAUUGUGCUGAGCCAAAGCCUGGGGAAAGGCUGUCAUCACUGAAACAAAGGGCAAAGCCACUGUCAGCUUUGCUGGGGCUAUGAUUUCACCCAUCUCACCCUGGAAGGCUUCUGCGCCAUGCAAGAGGGCUGGGUGUCAAAGAUCUUUCAGCCCAAAGCAUCAGAAUUUCAGGUGGUAGAAACCGAAGAUCUACCACCUUCAGCAAAGCAGCAAUGAAAUACCAGCAAAACUCAAGCCCCUCAUCUUUCCUCACGCCCUGUUCUCAUUUGAUGUACUCCCACUAUCUAACUGUAUUUACAAUGUGUGUAAGGGGGGUGAGGGGUGGAAUCUUGUUCAAAAGUUUUAGAGAGGAUUAUAGCUUGAGAACUGCUCCAGCUCCCAGUUCUAAGUCAAUGUGAUCGGCUUGAUUAAAGGUCUUGUUUGGUAAAAGCAAUUCAAUUGACCAAAAGCUUGAAGUGGAAGUUAAAGGAGCCUGCCUUUUUGAAGUGUACCCUGCAGGUUUUUGGUUCAUAUCUUCAAAGUAAUGUAGGAAAAUGCCAGUGAUUGAUUCUUUAAAGUUGUUAGUUCAAAGUAUUAUUUUACAUAAAAUGUGUAAGUAUUUUAUAGCAACGGUGAAAUAUUAAAAGAAAACUAACUUUUGAAUCAUGAAAACAAGCAUGAUUUCAAAGUUAAAAUUCUAAAUUGCUUUCAUAAAAGUCAUCAAAACUUGUUAUAUAACUGACUAGAUCAAUUUAUUCCCUUGAGUUGUUGUUUCUUUAGUGUGUUUAUUGAUUUCUUUUGUAGGUCUCAAGUCAUUUAAGUUUGCUAUCCAAUCUGUCUACUGCUCUUUAUUUAUAUUCUCCCACUUAAGCUUUUAUCAACAUCAGAAAUAUCUGAAUCUAAUUUUCAGAAAUAAAAAUAUCCUUUGUUUCUGUUUGAAAUGA